AUGCAGCGAGGAGUGGCUGCAUCUGCAUGUAGUACAACUGAGUGCACCACCACACCGCUACCACCACAGGCGCAACCAAUGGCGGCUGAGGCGGCCAUGGAUGGGAAGAAGGGCAAGAAGAAGGGCGGCCUCAGAACAAUGCCCUUCAUCUUUGCCAACGAGGUGGCAGAGAAGCUGGCCGUGGUGGGCUUCUCGACGAACAUGCUGACCUACCUCACCCAGCAGAUGCACAUGCCGCUGGCCAAGGCGGCCACCACCCUCACCAACUUCGGCGGCACCUCCGCCAUGACCCCGCUCAUCGGCGCCUACCUCGCCGACGCCUGCAUCGGCCGCUUCUGGACCAUCGCCGGCGCCUCCGUCGUCUACCAAUUCGGGAUGGCCCUCCUGACGGUGUCGGCUGCGCUGCCGCAGUUCCGGCCGGCGCCGUGCAAGGCCGCGGAGGCGGCGGGGGGCGGCAGCGGCGCGUGCGAGCAGGCGCUGCCGUGGCAGCUCGCCGUGCUCUACGUGUCGCUGUUCCUGAACGCGGUGGGCGCCGGCGGGUACCGGCCGUGCAUCGUGGCGUUCGGGGCGGACCAGUUCGACGAGUCGCAGACGGCGGAGCGCGCGCGGACGUGGGGCUUCUUCAACUGGUACUACUUCUGCAACGGCGCGUCGCAGCUGGUGGCCGUGACGGCGGUGGUGUACGUGCAGGACAACGUGGGGUGGGGCUGGGGCCUCGGCGUGCCGGCCUUCUGCAUGGGCGUCUCCGUCGUCGCCUUCGUCGGCGGGUACCCGAUGUACCGCCGGCUGGACCCGUCGGGCAGCCCGUUCACGCGGCUGGCGCAGGUGGCCGUCGCGGCCGUCCGGAAGCGCCGCGUCCCCAGGGCGGACGACCCCGGGAGGCUGUACGAGAACGACGAGAUGGACGCCCCCAUCUCCAUGUACGGCAAGCUCGUGCACACACCCCAGCUCAGCUUCUUUGAUCGAGCCGCCAUUAUCACUGACGGCGACCUGCCCACGACGGACGCCUCUUCCAGCAAGCAACCGCUGAACCUGUGGCGGCUGAGCACGGUGCACCGCGUGGAGGAGCUCAAGUCGGUGGUGCGCAUGGGCCCAAUCUGGGCGGCGGGCAUCCUGGUGAUCACGGCGUCGUCGCAGCAGCACACCUUCUCCCUGCAGCAGGCGAGUACCAUGGACCGCCGCAUCGCUCCGCACUCGUCCUUCAAGAUCCCCGCGGGCUCCAUGACCGUCUUCACCAUGCUCGCCAUGCUGGUCACCCUCUUCGUCUAUGACCGUGCGCUCGUCCCGCUGGCCCGCCGCCGCACGGGCCUGGACCGUGGCAUCUCCUUCCUCCACCGCAUGGGCGUCGGGUUCACCAUCUCCGUGGCGGCCUCUCUCGUCGCGGGCUUCAUCGAGCGCCACCGCAGGGAGGCCGCCGUGGCCGGGGGAACCACCGACGCUGGGACGGCCCCGCUGUCCGUGUACUGGCUGGUGCCACAGUACGCACUUCAUGGGGUGGCCGAAGCGUUCAACUCGGUGGGGCACCUGGAGUUCAUGUAUGACCAGGCGCCAGAGAGCAUGCGCAGCACGGCGACCGCGCUCUUCUGGCUGUCCAUCUCCCUGGGCAGCUACGUCAGCACGCUGCUCAUCACCAUCGUGCACCGGUGGAGCGCUGGCCCAGACGGGUCCAACUGGCUCCCGGACAACAUCAACCGCGGCAAGCUGGACUACUUCUACUGGGUCGUGACACUUCUGCAGGUCAUGAACCUGGUGUACUACCUGAUAUGUGCUAGGCAGUACACGUACAAGCCCGUGCAGCACUACAAGGAAGAGGAGGGGGAGGACAAGUCCAUGGUGGAGCUGCAACAGAAGGUUUGA
rnacentral:rRNA from 1 species